CGGCGGACGGGUGAGUAACGCGUGGGUAACCUGCCUCAUACAGGGGGAUAACAGUUAGAAAUGGCUGCUAAUACCGCAUAAGACCACAGUACUGCAUGGUACAGUGGUAAAAACUCCGGUGGUAUGAGAUGGACCCGCGUCUGAUUAGGUAGUUGGUGAGGUAAUGGCCCACCAAGGCGACGAUCGGUAGCCGGACUGAGAGGUUGAACGGCCACAUUGGGACUGAGACACGGCCCAG
rnacentral:rRNA from 1 species